UUUUUAUUAUCUUAUUAUAUAAAGUAUGGUUUUCAAAGUUACUAACUCAUACGAUUGUGCCACAUGUCAAGUCAAAUGAUCAGAUGUUUACAUGUGUCAUUCAAAAUUUAAUUUUUUAUUCUCUUAA
rnacentral:sRNA from 1 species